AAAAAAAAACUAAUCAUAU
rnacentral:sRNA from 1 species